AGUCGUCGCGGCGGGACGGCACGGGCGCCGCGAGUGUCACAGCCGCCGACGCUGACCGGCUCUUGCGCACGCUCGUAGCCCCCUUGCCUUGCCGCCAGCGGAGCGGACAGGUAGACCUUGUGCAGGUGUGCUAUGAGGGACAAGGCAGUACAACCUGGGUAUGCUAUCUGAAUAGCAAAUGUCGAUGUGGUGCCAGGACGUACUGCUGGACUAGAGGCAUCGAAACUAUCAGGGCUUGGCUUCGUGACUGAAUAUGAGUGCAUUCUGCUUCUUUGUUAUGAUUCUCUUUAGAAGCAUGGGUUCCAUUUUCUUAGCAUGUGAAUUAGACUCUGUUUAAUGGGAUUGCUUCAAAUGUGCUCAAUGGGCCUGCAUUUACAUACUUCAGUAGUGAGUAGUGACUGACCAAAUGCCAAUUCGGUUUUAUUUGGAUGGUGAACAUAAUCAAACUACACUAGAUUGCAGGUUACUGUAUCUGCAUUUGCUUCAUUUCACUCCUGAAUACUUGUUUCAAAAACUUCUGAUGUGUAAAUACAUCCUGCCUGUUUUCAA